GCACUCGCCUGGACGAAUCCCAGCGCUGAACCAGCGUCCCGCCAAGCAACAAGUAGUUUUAACAACAAAGGUGAGGUCGGCGCUGAGCACCCUUACUCAUUAAAUGAUUUCCUUCCCGUUAAGGGGGCCUGCGGAAGGAUCAUUAAAGAGUAAGGGUGCUCAGCGCCCGACCUCCAACCCUUUGUUGUUAAAACUACCUUGUUGCUUUGGCGGGACCGCUCGGUUCCGAGCCGCUGGGGAUUCGUCCCAGGCGAGUGCCCGCCAGAGUUAAACCAAACUCUUGUUAUUAAACCGGUCGUCUGAGUUAAAAUUUUGAAUAUAUCAAAACUUUCAACAACGGAUCUCUUGGUUCUCGCAUCGAUGAAGAACGCAGCGAAAUGCGAUAAGUAAUGUGAAUUGCAGAAUUCAGUGAAUCAUCGAAUCUUUGAACGCACAUUGCGCCCCUUGGUAUUCCGAGGGGCAUGCCUGUUCGAGCGUCAUUACACCACUCAAGCUAUGCUUGGUAUUGGGUGCCGUCCUUAGUUGGGCGCGCCUUAAAGACCUCGGCGAGGCCACUCCGGCUUUAGGCGUAGUAGAAUUUAUUCGAACGUCUGUCAAAGGAGAGGAACUCUGCCGAUUGAAACCUUUAUUUUUCUAGGUUGACCUCGGAUCAGGUAGGGAUACCCGCUGAACUUAA
rnacentral:misc_RNA from 1 species